UACGGAGGAUCCAAGCGUUAUCCGGAUUUAUUGGGUUUAAAGGGUGCGUAGGCGGCUUAUUAAGUCAGGGGUGAAAGACGGUGGCUCAACCAUCGCAGUGCCCUUGAUACUGAUGAGCUUGAAUACACUUGAGGUAGGCGGAAUGUGACAAGUAGCGGUGAAAUGCAUAGAUAUGACAUAGAACACCGAUAGCGAAGGCAGCUUACUACAGGAUGAUUGACGCUGAGGCACGAAAGCGUGGGGAGCAAACAGG
rnacentral:rRNA from 1 species